UCUAGAACUCGAGAUAUGGGCUGAACAUUGAACAAUGUCUGGGUUGCAGAACAGAUUCUGACUUCUCCGUUGUUGCUACAAUUUGAACUUGAAAACGGUCCUUUUGAAUCUUGGACUCCUCAUGAAAUUUUUAGGCCUAUGUUGUAGCUUUCCAUC
rfam:Populus trichocarpa scaffold_12_contig_143, whole genome shotgun sequence.